AUUCAAGUGUUUCAAAAAUGUCAAUUUUUUAAAUUAUCAAUCUAGUAAUUUAGUUUUGAAUUGUUUUAAUUUACCGGUGUUUAAAUUACAUUUCAACACGGUACGUUUCAGCUACUCAACGAGUUGUUUAUAUAAAUUGCAUUUGUUGGUUUGUUUACUUUGAUCAUCAUGAGUGACUCUGAGGAUCCAACAUUAGCCCAAGAUAAUGAAGAUGAAAAGUACGGCGAAGAGACAAUGCAAGAAACAAUACAAGAGAUAUUGCCUGAAAAGGGUUUGCAGGGAUGGUGGAGAAUUACUUUGCUGUGAUUUAUGCCCUUCAGCUUAUCAUACUUUUUGACUUAAUCCUCAGUUAAAAGUUGUGAUAGUGAAUGGGUAUGCCCUAGAUGUUCGGUUGAACCACUAAAGGGUAAAGUAGCCAAAAUUUUAACCUGGAGAUGGGUAACAA